rnacentral:rRNA from 1 species
UACGUAGGGUCCGAGCGUUGUCCGGAGUUACUGGGCGUAAAGCGCGCGCAGGCGGCGACGCGCGCCCGGCGUGAAAGCCCCCGGCUCAACCGGGGAGGGUCGUCGGGGGACGGCGUCGCUUGAGGACGGCAGGGGCUGGUGGAAUGCCCGGUGUAGUGGUGAAAUGCGUAGAGAUCGGGCAGAACACCCGUGGCGAAGGCGGCCAGCUGGGCCGGGC